AUGCUCAAUUUCCAACGUCCUAAGGGCAGGCUGACGUCAGACCUUACAAAGAUCGAGUUGUUGUCUCUGCAGAGGAGAGCUAACCACAUCAAGGCUUGCUCCCUUCAGCCUCCACACUUCUCACCCCCUGAAUUUCUGAGUUCUGAGACCGGCCUCAGGUACACACUUGUGUCCACAUCUGCCAGGACCACAGUGUCAUGUCAAAAGCCAGAUAAGAGCCAAAGAGGAGGCUGGGCGAGGAGUGCGCCACGCAGCCGCUCGGAGAACCACCCUCCGGCUCAUUCCGGAGCGGGUCACGCCUGGGCACCACCGCAGCGUCUCUCCCCCCACAGGACCCACCGCGCCUUAAGGAAACAAAGACCUGAUUUUUGAGAACCGGAUCUAUUUUCUAGCCAGAGCAAAUGGAAUCUGCUCAAGUGCGCCAAGUGUUCUCUGUAAUUUCCUCGAGAAUGACUGUUUCUUCCUUUUUACAUUCUUCUCAAGCAAUCAGUAAGUAACUUAUUCAUAAACCUAAGACAUUGCCCAAACAGAAUUUCCUUGGAAAAGCUGGGUUUUUCUUGCUGAGCCAGACAGUUGAUGUGUUUUCUAGCCAGCUGGAUUACAGCUAAAGCAGUGAGAUUACAGCAAGAAGCCAGCUAUGCUGUACAGAUCUUCAUCACAAGCAAUGAACUCAUUCACAGGAAUCAUUUGAUGCAAAAUAAAUAAACUCCUUUAGUAGAACA
rnacentral:lncRNA from 1 species